rnacentral:rRNA from 1 species
UACGUAGGGUGCAAGCGUUUAUCCGGAAUCAUUGGGCGUAAAGAGCGUGUAGGCGGCUUGGUAAGUCCGCUGUGAAAGUCCAGGGCUCAACCCUGGAAAGCCGGUGGAAACUGUCAAGCUUGAGUCCGGAAGAGGCGAGUGGAAUUCCUGGUGUAGCGGUGAAAUGCGCAGAUAUCAGGAGGAACACCAAUGGCGAAGGCAGCUCGCUGGGACGGUACUGACGCUGAUGCACGAAAGCUAGGGGAGCAAACAGG